rnacentral:tRNA from 1 species
UCCCUGGUGGCUAAGUGGUAAAGAAUCUGCCUGCAGUGUAGGAGACCAGGGUUCAAUCCCUAGGUUGGGAA